CCUACGGGUGGCAGCAGUGAGGAAUAUUGGUCAAUGGGCGCGAGCCUGAACCAGCCAAGUAGCGUGAAGGAUGACUGCCCUACGGGUUGUAACCUUCUCUUAUGAAGGAAUAAAGUGAUGCACGUGUGCCUUUUUGUAUGUACUUUAUGAAUAAGGAUCGGCUAACUCCGUGCCAGCAGCCGCGGUAAUACGGAGGAUCCGAGCGUUAUCCGGAUUUAUUGGGUUUAAAGGGAGCGUAGAUGGGUUGUUAAGUCAGUUGUGAAAGUUUGCGGCUCAAACGUAAAAUUGCAAUUGAUACUGGCUGUCUUGAGUACAGUAGAGGUAGGCGGAAUGCGUGGUGUAGCGGUGAAAUGCUUAGAUAUCACGAAGAACCCCGAUUGCGAAGGCAGCUUACUAAACUGUGACUGACAUUGAUGCUCGAAAGUGUGGGUAUCAAACAGGAUUAGAUACCCUAGUAGUC
rnacentral:rRNA from 1 species